UGACACCCGUGCGUGCCUAUUAAAGCACUCAUCAUAUGAGCCCCUGGGUAGAGAGCCACGCUUCGUUACACGAUCACGCGUGAGAGUUUCUGGGAAUCGGAUAGUCUCCACUAAUCCUUUGCUUUGACACCAAAUAUCACAAAGCCCUCAGAUCCCGAGGAUUGUGUAAUUCAAAUAAAUAUGCAUAAAUCACAACUUCUUGUGAUUUGAAGAUUGAGAUCAUAUCUCAACCAUAAAAGAGAUCAGAUCUCUUACCUUUAGAAGGAGGUUCCUUCAAGGAUGCUUCGCAGCCGCACAAGCGUCCAGCCUUGAUG
rnacentral:lncRNA from 1 species